AAGUAGUGUGACAUGCCCGUUUUGGUGUUAAGCUCUAAUUAAUUAUUUAUUAUUUAAGUGUUUUGGAUAACGGGGUGUUACUAUU
rnacentral:pre_miRNA from 1 species